GAGGGAGUCCCUCCCUCUAAAAGCACUCUGUGUGGGGAACAUGAGAGCCAGACCAAAGCUCAGAGGAACCCACCAGGAACUAAACGCAAACCUGAACCUGGACCCAGCUGUGUGUCCUGUAAGAGUGACCAGUCUAAAGAUGUCAUCAUUUAUUUUAAAGUGUCUGCUGCAGAGAGACUGACUGAAGUCCACAAGAAGAUGAUGAUGGAGGAAGAAGAGGACAGAGCAGAGUCUGC